UGGUGAAGGGAGAAACAAUGAUCAGAAGGGUUGUGCUCCCAGGAUGAGCCUAUCCUAUUGCACUCCGGGUGAGCUGACUCCUGCGAUGUCCCCAAAAGUGGGAUACUCGACUGCAAAAUUUGUGGUAGUGGGAGACUGUGUUCGUGCUGUCCCCUG